CGUGUAGGCGGAUUUGCAAGUCAGAUGUGAAAAACCGGCGGCUCAACCACCGGCCUGCAUCUGAAACUGCUAAUCUUGAGUACGGUAGAGGAAAGUGGAAUUCCAGGUGUAGCGGUGACAUGCGUAGAUAUCUGGAAGAACACCGGUGGCGAAGGCGGCUUUCUGGACCGAUACUGACGCUGAGGCGCGAAAGCCAGGGGAGCAAACA
rnacentral:rRNA from 1 species